rnacentral:rRNA from 1 species
UACGAUGAAGAGUUUGAUCCUGGCUCAGGAUGAACGCUAGCGGCAGGCCUAACACAUGCAAGUCGAGGGGUAGAAGGAGCUUGCUCCUUUGAGACCGGCGCACGGGUGCGUAACGCGUAUGCAAUCUACCUUUUACAGAGGGAUAGCCCAGAGAAAUUUGGAUUAAUACCUCAUAGUAUAUAUCAUUCGCAUGUUUGGUAUAUUAAAGUUCCAAC